rnacentral:rRNA from 1 species
UACAGAGGUCCCAAGCGUUGUUCGGAUUCACUGGGCGUAAAGGGUGCGUAGGUGGCCAGGUAAGUUCGGUGUGAAAGCUCGGAGCUUAACUCCGAAAUGUCAUUGAAUACUAUCUGGCUGGAGGGUCGGAGGGGAGACUGGAAUUCUCGGUGUAGCAGUGAAAUGCGUAGAUAUCGAGAGGAACACCAGUGGCGAAGGCGAGUCUCUGGACGACUCCUGACGAGCUGAGGCACGGAAAGCUAGGGGAGCAAACAGG